UACGUAGGGUGCAAGCGUUAAUCGGAAUUACUGGGCGUAAAGCGUGCGCAGGCGGUGAUGUAAGACAGAUGUGAAAUCCCCGGGCUCAACCUGGGAACUGCAUUUGUGACUGCAUCGCUGGAGUGCGGCAGAGGGGGAUGGAAUUCCGCGUGUAGCAGUGAAAUGCGUAGAUAUGCGGAGGAACACCGAUGGCGAAGGCAAUCCCCUGGGCCUGCACUGACGCUCAUGCACGAAAGCAUGGGGAGCAAACAGG
rnacentral:rRNA from 1 species